rnacentral:rRNA from 1 species
AGAGCGAACGCUGGCGGCAGGCUUAACACAUGCAAGUCGAGCGCCCCGCAAGGGGAGCGGCAGACGGGAGAGUAACACGUGGGAACGUACCCUUUGGUUCGGAACAACACAGGGAAACUUGUGCUAAUACCGGAUAAGCCCUUACGGGGAAAGAUUUAUUGCCAAAGGAUCGGCCCGCGUCUGAUUAGCUUGUUGGUGAGGUAACGGCUCACCAAGGCUACGAUCAGUAGCUGGUCUGAGAGGAUGAUCAGCCUCACUGGGACUGAGACACGGCCCAGACUCCUACGGGAGGCAGCAGUGGGGAAUAUUGGACAAUGGGCGCAAGCCUGAUCCAGCCAUGCCGCGUGGAUGAUGAAGGCCCUAGGGUUGUAAAGUCCUUUCGACGGGGAAGAUAAUGACGGUACCCGUAGAAGAACGCCCCGGCUAACUUCGUGCCAGCAGCCGC